GAAGCUCGUGUCUGUGCCUCUGCCAUAGCUCUCUUGCUGCCUGGGCGGGAUGGUAGUCGCUGCUGACAUGAUGAAACGCCCUCUUUUCAUGGCCAUCAUGGUCACGUCAUGGAUGUGUAUUCAGGGUCAGUGUGGUGAUUGCGAUUCUGGUGGUUUAUGGGCUGCAGUGAACUGCUUAUAUGAGAUUUACGGGCAAAGUGCGAAAGUUAACUGCACUGUUGUUUACCACGGCGUAGAUGAACCUCAGAGAUGUUGGGUUAUGUCAAGUUACCUGUGUGAUAUUCAUGGGAACUACAGUCUUGCAACUGGAAGAAAAAGGCUCAGUUUUGAUGUCAAGAAUGUUCAAGAAGAAGAGUAUGAAGUCUCUGUUCGGACAACUUGUGGUGCAAUAUGUGCAUCCUUCAAUGUCACACUACAAGACCCAGGUACAAUUGCCAGCCCAGAGGGAUCCCAUUCACACCCAUAUCCCUUGAGGAUUCGCAGGGCCAUAGUAGGAGUCGUUGCAAUUGCAGUAGCAGUAUUCAUUCUUUUUUGGCAUUUUGGCUUUGUUCAAGAUUGUAGAAAGUAAUUGCAGUAGCAGUCAUGAGGAACCAGAAAUACUUCUGGACACCGAUACCAAUCUUGCUGAUUCUAGCUUCAGACUCUCCAAUCUUAGCUUAAGCAGCACAACCCCUGCCACAUGGAGACACAAGCAGCACUCAUUCACUGCCAGAAGAUGAGCAAGAGGAGGCUUGCUGGCAAAUCAUGGGAAAUAUAAGUUGUGUGUGUGUGUGUGUGUGUGUCAGAUGGCUGUGUUUGUGUGUACAGUAUUUGCAGAACAUUAACUCUGAACCUGCCCCCCUGCAAGGAAUACUUUGUCCUUUACCCAUCAUCUGUAACCAAACAGAAGCACUUAAACAACCCCAGACAGCCUUCACUUCUCUCUCUGUGACCACUGAAAUGACCAGCUCAGAUUCUCUUGCAAUGUUGAGGGGAAUCUGAGCUGAUCUCCUGUAAGUGUUACUGUUAGUGGAAAAGAAUGUCGCUCCCGACCACCAUAAACGACGGAUACUAAGACGAGUGGGUUUUAGUCUCACUUAACAUUCACAAAUUGAAAUGGUCCUCUUUCACCUGAUGAAGCAGCCACAUCAUUCAACCUUUUGCUACUUGGGGCAGUUGGCACAUUCUGCUUGACUCUGAUGACCGCUGUUUGCAGUUAUAUUUAAACGUAUUAUAAAUGAUAGUGCAUACCCCUGUCCUGUUAUAAAUAUCAAUAAUUGUAGGCGUAUAUGUAUAUGCAUUUACUUUACAUUUACUAUGUAUGGUAUUCAAACAUUCAACCUUCAACUCAUUAUCCCACAUUUUAUAUAUACAUGCAUAUUUUUCAAAACUUUGUAAAUAAAUGCUAAGUACAGUUAUGCA
rnacentral:lncRNA from 1 species